ensembl:lncRNA
GUGUAUCUGUUUUUGAAUAAAAAAAACAAUUUGUACACUCUGGAAGUCAUUCAAGUGGUAUUUUUUAUUGCAGCAUAACUUGAUGUAUACAGAGACUCAUGUUUUCUUUUUUGCUUUUAAUUGAAAUAUAGUUUAUUUACAAUGUGUUAAUUUCAGGUGUACAGGAAGGUGAGUCAUAGAUAGAUAUAGAUAUUCUUUUUCAAGUUCUUUACAUUAUUACAAAGUAUUGACUAUAGUUCCUUGUGCUAUAUACUAGGUCUUUGGUUAUGUAUUUUUAUAUAUACUAAUGUGUAAAUGUUAAUCCCAAACUCUAAUUUAUCACUCUCUGCCCCUUAGGUAACUGUAAGUUUGUUUCCUCUCUCUGUGAGUCUGUUUCUAUUUUGCAAAUAAGUUGAUCUGUAUCAUUUUUUUUUUUAGAUUCCACAUAUAAGCAAUAUCAUAUUUGUUUUUGUCUCAGUGUGAUAAUAUCUAGGUUCAUCCAUGUUGCUAUAAAUGGCAUUAUUUCAUUCUUUUUACAGCUGAGUAGUACUCCACUCUAUAUAUACCACAUCUUCUUUAUCCAUUCCUCUGUCGGUGGACAUUUAGGUUACUUUCAUGUUUUAGCUAUUGUAUAUAAUACUGCUAUGAACAUUGGGGUGGGUGUAUCUUCUUGAAUUAUGGCUUUCUCUGGAUAGAUGCCCAGAGUGGGAUUGCAGGAUCAUAUGCUAGGCCUAUUUUCAUUUUUUUAAGGAACUGCCAUACUGUUCUCCAUAGUAGCUGCACCAAUUUACAUUCCCACCAACAAUUUCACUAUUCUAUUUCGCUUCUUCCUUUCAAGGUAAGGUAGGAUGGUACUUGUGUUCAAACGUUCUUUGAAGUUAGGCAGCAGGGCCAUGUGACUAACUUUGGCUAAUGCACUUGAGCAGAAAACUUGUGUUUGUAUGUGUGUGUGUUGGGUUUAUUUAUUUAUUUUUUUCCUGUUAUUAUCAAGGAGGAAGCUUUUAAAAAAAUUAUUAAACAAUAGUUGAUUUAUAAUAUUGUGUUGAUUUCAGGUGUACAGCUUCAGAUUCUUUACCAUUGUUAAGUUGAUACAAGAUUUUGAAUAUAGCUAAAUUUGCUGUACAGUAAAUCCUUAUUUAUCUUUCUAUGUAAUGGUGUAUAUGUAUUAAUCUCAUACUCUUAAUUUAUCCCCUUGAUAACUAUAAGUUUGUUUUCUAUCUGAGUCUAUUUCUAUUUUUUAAAUAAGUUGAUUUAUGUUAUUUUUUAAUAUUCCACAUAUGUCUUAUUUUUGUCUUUUUCUGCCCUUUUUUACUUCCCUUAUAUGGUAAACUCUAGGGCCAUCCGUGUUCUGCAGAUGGCAAUAUUUCAUUCUUUUCAUGGUUGCAUAAUAUUCCAUUGUGUAUAUAUGGAAUAUAUAUAUAUUUAUUUAUUUAUUCCAUUGACAUCUUCUGUUCAAUGGACUUCAGACAUAAGGAAAAUCUGGGGCAAUAAAUGAAUGUUGCUUAAGCCAUUAAGCUUGCCUUGAUUUGUUAGGAAACAAUAGAAAACCGACACAAUUAAUACAAAGAAAUACAGAGGUUGAACUGAUUUGAGAAGAGAGUCAAUUUUCAUACAACAAAAGUUAACUGUACUCCUUGGUUUGGCAAAUGUGUUCACAGCUGAUGAAAAGGUUUAGUGUAAUGUGCUGUAGAUGUCUAAUUAGAGAGAAAUGGAAAUCACCAUUCUAUUGAAAGGAUUUUUCGCAGACUCAAGAAUGAUUCACCACCUGAAAAGAUCUUGACCUUUUGACUAUGAGCUGCUGAACCAUUUUCCAUAAGAUUUAUUCCAUCAUUGAAGCCUUUUUUUAAUUUUAUGUCUUUUGUUAUAUGGAACACGAUUCCCAAAAUCAUAAUUAGGGUCAGUUGUAAAUCUAAAGAAUCUCAAAAAGAAUGGAUGUGUGUGUAUGUAUAAUUGAAUCACUUUGUUGUAGAGCAGAAAUUAUCACAACAUUGCAAAUCAACUCUACCUCAAUAAAACUUAAAAGUUUGAGGAAGCUUUCAUAGGAAACACCUUUUAUUUAAAGCAAAACCACUAUUUAAAGCAAUAAAGAUGCACAGUGGGAUUUAAAAAAAAAAUUAGCCAGAAAUAACUAUGUAAAGUGGGUUUUGUUUGUGUUCUCAAUUGACGUCUGUGGUAAAUGUGAUAAAUAAAAAUAUUGAUUUGGUAUUAUUGUCAAAAUUACAUACUUUUUAAUAUACUUAUAAAUCUUAUAAAUGAACGUUACAAAUUAAAAUUUAGUUGGCAAUGCUGGUGUAUAGGCUGUGUUUAAAUUCAUUUGGCUUGUUUUAAAAUAGAGACUGUGCAGGUAAAAUACGGUUGCCUCAUCCUGGAAAAACCAGUUUCCUUUGCCCCCUUAAAAUCUAACUGCAUGAAUGCCUAAUUUGACAGAUAGGAAUGUAACACAGUUAUGAAUGGAUUUUUCAGAAGUUACUCCAAGGCAGAUUUAAAUUUAGAAUUUUAAUUUCCUUUGACUUUAGUGUUCCUUUUAUUAUAUAGCAUUUUGUGUCUUUUUGAUCCAGCUGUUCUGGUGACACUAUUUAGUUAAAAAUACUUUCUCUUCUCAUUCAGUAACAACAAUUUGCCUGGUUUAUAUAUAAAGUCAUUUGGCACCAUGUAGAUUGAGGCUCUCACAGAAGUCCUUUAUGUGCUAUUAGCCAGUUAUUUGGGAUAAAUUUAUAGCAAUUGACUUACCUUUUCAGAAUUCCAACAUUUUGUUUAAGGCUUUUGAUUGAAGAAUGCCUAACUUGUCUUUCAGCAAGAUUAUAUUAAUUUACAACUUAUAAUUAUCCCAGACACUUAAAAUUUAGCCUGGUAACUAUGUGUUCUUCCUGUUUUUCCUGUGUCAGUAAAAAAAAUCCUGCUGCCUAUUAUCUUGCUUAGUCUUAUUCCCUCCUGUAUAUGUAGUGCUUGACAACUGAAGGGUCCUUAGUAGUAUUUGCAGAAUGGUAGUAAUCAUAAUAAAUGAAUGUAUUAUUGUAAGUAUAAGGAAAAAGUCUGGAAGAAUAUGGGCUGAGCCACUGAUGAUGAUUAACUUGGGUGUGAAAUGUCAUUGUAAGUAGUGGCAUUAGGGACGUGAAAGUAAGUGUUGAUAUUUUAAAUUUCUUCUUAAAGCAUUUCUGUAUUAGUUCCUCUUUUUUUUUUUUUUUUUCUAUGAGCUCAUUUUGAAAGUUAUCCUUAGGGAAAUAAUGUGGCAAUGGAACAGAAGGGAGAAAACUUCCAUAUACUUUAUUCAAGACUUAUUAACAUGCAUAAUCUUAUUAUAAUUUCUACUAACCUUUUGAAAUAGAUAAUAUUCAUCUCCAUCUUGAAGAUGAAAAAGCAGCAGCAGCAGCUUAGCCAGGUUAAAUGACUUGUUCCAAGCCAAAUAGCUAUGCAGGAAGAAAACUAAGUGAACUCAAGUUUGCCAGAUCUAGACUAAUUUGCCAUGGGUCUGGGAGUUUAAUACAGAAACCUAUGUUCUUUCCCCUGUGCUAAGCUGUCUAUCAGGAGGGUGGUGAGCUGACUUCUAAGAUCAAGAUGUCUGUGUACAGAAAAGGGAACUGUUGGCUCCUUUGCAGAAUCCCAGUUCUGAAGUUAAUGAGUUGGAGUGUCUGAGAGAACGGGCUUCCCACAAGGUCACACAACAGGAGUCAGUGAUUUCUGACUCUCUGCAUAUCUAGCACACUUCCUUGCCAGUUCUCUUGGAAGCAGUCUUGUGGUUUCAUUUUAUACUGACAAGGACAAAUUCCAGAAUCUGAUUUCAAGUGAACGAAUGAGGGGAAAAAAAAAAAAAAAAAAAA